rnacentral:sRNA from 1 species
AUCCUAAUCUUUAUCCAAAGCGGCCACGCGACGUAGAUUCCAGGAGCGAAGCUGCGCUGCUUCCGCGAAGCCGCCGCCGACCGCCAUCUUGCCGGAUCCUUGCGAAGCCGCCGCCGCCCGCCGUCUUUUGUAAUCCCUGCGAAGCUGUGCUACUCUCGCUGGCGUGCGAAGCCACCGCCGUUUUGCCGGAUCCCUGCGAAGCUGUGUUGCUCCCGCCGGCGGGUGAAGCUGUCGCCGUCUUGCCGGAUCCCAGCAUAGCAGCACCGCCCAUGCUAGAUGCUGCCCAGGCUGCCUUUCGUGCAAAAUAGUAAGCAGAUCGAUUUGCAGGUUGCCAGAUGCAUUUGCACAUCUGGGCAGAAUCAUCUGAAGGUUGUGCUCCUGAUGCACGGAUUUGGGAUCUAUUUGACUCUUCGAUUGCGUUCUCCUCUCUCUUUUUUUCCCUGCUUUUUUUUCUAGAUUUUUAUCCUCGUUAUGUAUGCAAGAUUUGUGCUUGUACAUGGGAAGUUGGGUUCAUAAAUGGAUCUUGGCAGGAGGUUUAGAUGCAAUUUGUGGCAAGAUUUGUGACGGCCAUUAAUAAUUGAUUUAGCUGUAUAAUAAUUAAAGGCGUAAUUGCAUAUUUGUUUCUCAGGC